UACGUAGGGGGCAAGCGUUGUUCGGAAUUACUGGGCGUAAAGGGCGCGUAGGCGGCUUAUCAAGUCAGGCGUGAAAUUCCCGGGCUCAACCUGGGGGCUGCGCUUGAUACUGAUUGGCUUGAAUGCGGGAGAGGAUAGUGGAAUUCCCAGUGUAGAGGUGAAAUUCGUAGAUAUUAGGAAGAACACCGGUGGCGAAGGCGGCUAUCUGGCCCGUAAUUGACGCUGAGGCGCGAAAGCGUGGGGAGCAAACAGG
rnacentral:rRNA from 1 species